UACGUAGGGUGCGAGCGUUAAUCGGAAUUACUGGGCGUAAAGCGUGCGCAGGCGGUUCGCUGUGUCCGAUGUGAAAUCCCCAGGCUUAACCUGGGAACUGCGUCGGAUACUGGCGGGCUUGAAUCCGGGAGAGGGAUGCGGAAUUCCAGGUGUAGCGGUGAAAUGCGUAGAUAUCUGGAGGAACACCGGUGGCGAAGGCGGCAUCCUGGACCGGCAUUGACGCUGAAUAGCGAAAGCCAGGGGAGCAAACGGG
rnacentral:rRNA from 1 species